GCCUGGGUGGUUCAGUCGGUUGAGCGUCGGAGUUCGGCUCAGAUCAUAAUCUCAUGGUUCGUGGGUUCGAGCCCCGCAUCAGGCU
rnacentral:tRNA from 1 species